AUGAUGCGGGACCAGGUCCUCAGACACCUGCUCCAGCCCAGUUUCCAUACAUUCACUUCUUCAUUCCAUAAGCAUUUAUGGAGCACCUGCUGUGUACUGCCACUUAAAGAGACACAGACACAGACAGACAGCUCCCGUUCAUCCCACGGGGACCGUGACACACAACACAGGCCCCGCAGAAGUGGAAGGAUUCUCGUGAUUGUCCCGAACGCCGACACAGAGGCUGUUCUGCAGUCUAUCAGCACACGCACAAGCACACACACGCACAUAUGCACACCAUCUCCCAUAGUCCCUGUACACAGUCACAUCCUGUCCACUGCACAAGGACGGCCUCGCUCCCUCUUUCACACACACACAAACGCAGGCCAUUUCAGACAUCCACAGCGGUCCACAGGGCACCCAUAUCAACACCCCGCACCCAGCCGCUCCCCUCCCCUGGCUCAGGCACUGCCACUCCUGCAUGCACAGGGCACGGCCCAUCGAAGCUGGACCCGGGCCCAGGGACGCACAGCCUGCAGGCUGGCUGUCCUGUCUGCGCCCAGCCUCCGCGGGAAGCAGAGCCUGGUCCAGCUCCUGGAGGACUCUGGUGAGACGUGGCAGCCCCGUCUGCCCACCGCCCUCCUCAGCUGUGCUCAGUCUUUGCAGGCCUCCCACCCCAAGCACAUGCCCAGGGCACCACCCUCUGAUGCCAGCUGGCCUUGGGGCUGUUAUCCGGUCCGCCCUCUCGGCCCCAACCUUCAAGUGAACCCCCGAUUUGUGCGGGGGGCCAGUGCACGCCCCACUGGGACCCCCAAAGUCCUGGGCCUGCCAGGGCAGCACCUGCUCCCCGCCCUUGCACGUCCCGGAAUGAACCUGCUGCUGGCGCCUUGGGAAGAACCGAGGGGUCAGCACUGGCUGCAGACUCCAUCCGCCUUUGCAAGGAGUGUCCUAUUUAUGGGCGCUUUCUGCCAGCCCAGCACAUCCCGGCCUGCUGAGCCAGCGCCCUGUCCUACCGAUUCCGUUCAGGCCAUUUCACUCCAAUAG
rnacentral:lncRNA from 1 species